CCUACGGGUGACAGCAGUGAGGAAUAUUGGUCAAUGGGCGAAAGCCUGAACCAGCCAAGUCGCGUGAGGGAAUAAGGUCCUAUGGGUCGUAAACCUCUUUUGCCGGGGAGCAAGGGCGCGGAGGUGUCCCGCACCGGAGAGUACCCGGAGAAAAAGCAUCGGCUAACUCCGUGCCAGCAGCCGCGGUCAUACGGAGGAUGCGAGCGUUAUCCGGAUUUAUGGGGUUUAAAGGGUGCGUAGGCGGGCUGUAAAGUCAGCGGUAAAAUGUCGGGGCUCAACCCCGUACGGCCGUUGAAACCGGGGGCCUUGAGUGGGCGAGAAGAAUGCGGAAUGUGUGGGGGAGCGGUGAAAUGCUUAGAGAUCAUACAGAACACCGAUUGCGAAGGCAGCUUACCAGGCUACUACUGACGUUGAGGCACGAAAGCGUGGGGAGCAAACAGGAUUAGAUACCCGAGUAGUC
rnacentral:rRNA from 1 species